GGCGUCUAAGGCUUAAUUUGGCUUAAUUUGGCCGCAGGUCCCAGGGGAGGGCACAGGGGUGCGGGGUGCUUUUCUUGGAUUCAAAUCUGGCACCUGUCCUCCCAGGGUGCACGGCAUCAUGGGCUCACAUGUGCCCAUGUGUGUCCACUCAAGACAUCAGAGGUAGUGGUGAAAACCAGGCAUCUUGAUCCUUGCACAGAUCUGAUGAUUUGCAAAUUAAUAACUCCCCUCCUCCCCCACACAGGCUCUGAGAAGGUGGAACAAGAUUUCUGGUGAAGAGAGAAAAAUGUGCAGAAAAAUACACAAUGAGACCAGGAAGCAAACUGCCAUUGGAUUCUGUAGGAAAAUACUUCCCUGUGAAUGGCACGUGUGUCUUUAGACGUGGGUCUUGGCCUUUCCACGGGGCCACCUUGCCCCCCGUUGCCCGAGCCUCUCGGAAGUCCUGAGAACUGAGGGUGCUAAAGGAGAAACAAGAGAGCCCCUCCGCGUGCUCACACAGAGACACAACUCUCGUCCCCACAGUCACAGGCGUGGUCACCUUCCUGCCCUUCCACAUACCCUGCACUCUGUUCCACCGUGCACGGUGCCCACCUUUUUCUCUUCUGUCCCAGGGGCUGCAGGACCACAUCCCAGGUCCAGGACUAAAAGAAGGGGGUGCAAGGUCUGGGCUCCUGGGGGAUCAACAUGGGAGCGGAGGCUUUGGUGCUGCCUGGAGGGUUGCUGGCUUGCAUCUGAGAUCACCACGCUCGACCUCGCUCCCCUCUUCGGUGCCCAGGGUGUCUCCAGCCCUCGUGGGAAGCCCAGCGUUGUUUACCCAGCCCGAGCGCACACCGUGAAGGCCCUGCCGGAUGCUGCCCUUUCUGGGCCUCAAGGUCCCCUGCCUCCCCACCUCCGCGCCCUCCCCCCCAGGCCUUGGAAACAUGGCUGGGCAAAGUACACAAAGGAGCCGGGUGACAACCCCCCCUCAACUUCUCACCUUCGGUAGCGCUCUGCCCUGAGGAAUCUCAAACCUCCUAACUUGGGUUUCUUCCCGGGAAGAAAAGACAUAAUACCGAUCCCCUCUGUUCCUCUGUGGUUCUGGACAGAUAGAGGUAAAAACUGUAAAGUGCUGAACGCAACUGGGUCAUUUCCAGGAGAAAGUACUGGGGUAAGAUUAAGACGACACGAGGCAGGAGCCAACGAGAGAGGGCAAGGAGAGAGCGAGAGGGGUCAGAUCAGUUCCCAGGGACUGAGGCCAGUUUCCAGCGUUGCACAUGCGGUGUCCUCAC
rnacentral:lncRNA from 1 species